rnacentral:rRNA from 1 species
UAAGCAAUUAUACAGCGAAACUGCGAAUGGCUCAUUAUAUAAGUUAUCGUUUAUUUGAUAGUACCUUACUACUUGGAUAACCGUGGUAAUUCUAGAGCUAAUACAUGCUAAAAAUCCCGACUUCGGAAGGGAUGUAUUUAUUAGAUUAAAAACCAAUGCCCUCCGGGGCUCACUGGUGAUUCAUGAUAACUCCUCGAAUCGCAUGGCCUUGCGCCGGCGAUGGUUCAUUCAAAUUUCUUCCCUAUCAACUUUCGAUGUUUGGGUAUUGGCCAAACAUGGUUGCAACGGGUAACGGAGGGUUAGGGCUCGACCCCGGAGAAGGAGCCUGAGAAACGGCUACUACAUCCAAGGAAGGCAGCAGGCGCGCAAAUUACCCAAUCCCGACUCGGGGAGGUAGUGACAAUAAAUACUGAUACAGGGCUCUUUUGGGUCUUGUAAUUGGAAUGAGUACAAUUUAAAUCCCUUAACGAGGAACAAUUGGAGGGCAAGUCUGGUGCCAGCAGCCGCGGUAAUUCCAGCUCCAAUAGCGUAUAUUAAAGUUGUUGUGGUUAAAAAGCUCGUAGUUGAACCUUGGGCCUGGCUGGCCGGUCCGCCUCACCGCGUGUACUGGUCCGGCCGGGCCUUUCCCUCUGUGGAACCCCAUGCCCUUCACUGGGUGUGGCGGGGAAACAGGACUUUUACUGUGAAAAAAUUAGAGUGCUCCAGGCAGGCCUAUGCUCGAAUACAUUAGCAUGGAAUAAUAGAAUAGGACGUGUGGUUCUAUUUUGUUGGUUUCUAGGACCGCCGUAAUGAUUAAUAGGGACAGUCGGGGGCAUCAGUAUUCAAUUGUCAGAGGUGAAAUUCUUGGAUUUAUUGAAGACUAACUACUGCGAAAGCAUUUGCCAAGGAUGUUUUC